AUACGUAGGGAGCGAGCGUUGUCCGGAAUUACUGGGCGUAAAGGGCGCGUAGGCGGCGCUUCAAGUCGUCUGUCAAAUGGGAGGGCUUAACCCUUUUUCGCAGACGAAACUGGAGAGCUUGAGAAGCAGAGUGGCAAACAGAAUUCCUGGUGUAGCGGUGAAAUGCGUAGAUAUCAGGAAGAAUACCAGUGGCGAAGGCGGUUUGCUGGCUGCAUACUGACGCUGAAGCGCGAAAGCCAGGGGAGCGAACGGGAUUAGAUACCCCGGUAGUCCUGGCAGUAAACGAUGUAUGCUGGGUGUGAGACUAGCGAUAGUUUCGUGCCGAAGUUAACGCGAUAAGCAUACCGCCUGGGGAGUACGGUCGCAAGAUUGAAACUCAAAUGAAUUGACGGGG
rnacentral:rRNA from 1 species